rnacentral:rRNA from 1 species
AAGUGGGCCUAAAAGCAGCCACAUUACAAAAAGCGUUAAAGCUUAGUUGUCCUAACUAAAAAUUCCUAUAAUUAAUUAUAACCCUUAAUCUGUACUGAAUAAUCUCAUAGUAUUAUGAGAGCCUAUAUGUUAGAACUAGUAACAAGAAGAAGCCCUUCUCCAAAAUGUAAGCAUGAGCCAAAAUGAACCAUUCAUUGGUACUUAAAGUUAUAAACCCACUGUAGUAACCCAAACAAGAAAAAUCUACAAGUUAUUAACGUCAACCUAACACCAGUACAUUUCUGGAAAGAUUAAAAGAAUGGGAAGGAACUCGGCAAAUAAUUAACCCCGCCUGUUUACCAAAAACAUCGCCUCCUGCCCUAUUAUAGGAGGUCCAGCCUGCCCAGUGACAAAGUUAAACGGCCGCGGUACCCUAACCGUGCAAAGGUAGCGCAAUCACUUGUUCUUUAAAUGAGGACUAGUAUGAACGGCAUCACGAGGGUUAUGCUGUCUCCCCACUCUAUUCAGUGAAACUGAUCUUCCCGUGAAGAAGCGGGAAUAAAAAUAUAAGACGAGAAGACCCCAUGGAGCUUUAAACUCAGCAGCAACUGCCUAAAUAAAAACCUCACAUUCUGCAGCCGUGCUUGCUAGUUUUCGGUUGGGGUGACCACGGAGUAAAACUAAACCUCCAUGAUGAAAGGAAUUAAUAUCCUAACCCACGAGCUACAGCUCUAAGUAUUAACAAAUUAACUAAAUUGACCCAAUUACUUGAUCAACGAACCAAGUUACCCUGGGGAUAACAGCGCAAUCCAUUUCAAGAGCUCAUAUCGACAAAUGGGUUUACGACCUUGAUGUUGGAUCAGGGUAUCCCAGUGGCGCAGCCGCUAAUAAUGGUU